AAUUCGAUGAUACGCGAGGAACCUUACCUGGGCUCAAAUGUAUGUUGACGUAUUCUGAAAGGGAUACUUCUUCGGACAAUAUACAAGGUGCUGCAUGGUUGUCGUCAGCUCGUGCCGUGAGGUGUCGGGUUAAGUCCCGCAACGAGCGCAACCCUAUUGCUAGUUACCAUCAUUAAGUUGGGGACUCUAGCGAGACUGCCAGUGAUAAACUGGAGGAAGGUGGGGAUGACGUCAAAUCAUCAUGCCCCUUAUGACCUGGGCUACAAACGUGAUACAAUGGCUGGAACAAAGGGAUGCGAAGCAGUGAUGUGGAGCGAAACCCAUAAAAACAGUCUCAGUUCGGAUUGAAGUCUGCAACUCGACUUCAUGAAGUCGGAAUCGCUAGUAAUCGCGGAUCAGAACGCCGCGGUGAAUACGUUCGUCGGGUUU
rnacentral:rRNA from 1 species